CCUACGGGCGGCUGCAGUGGGGAAUAUUGGACAAUGGGGGCAACCCUGAUCCAGCCAUGCCGCGUGUGUGAAGAAGGCCCUCGGGUUGUAAAGCACUUUCAGUGAGGAAGAACGCCUGGUGGUUAAUACCCAUCAGGAAAGACAUCACUCACAGAAGAAGCACCGGCUAACUCCGUGCCAGCAGCCGCGGUAAUACGGAGGGUGCGAGCGUUAAUCGGAAUUACUGGGCGUAAAGCGCGCGUAGGUGGCUUGAUAAGCCGGUUGUGAAAGCCCCGGGCUCAACCUGGGAACGGCAUCCGGAACUGUCAAGCUAGAGUGCAGGAGAGGAAGGUAGAAUUCCCGGUGUAGCGGUGAAAUGCGUAGAGAUCGGGAGGAAUACCAGUGGCGAAGGCGGCCUUCUGGACUGACACUGACGCUGAGGUGCGAAAGCGUGGGUAGCAAACAGGAUUAGAUACCCGAGUAGUC
rnacentral:rRNA from 1 species